ACAUAAACCUCCUGGCAACCUUGCUAAGAUGUAGAUUUUAGUUCUGCAGGUCAGAGAAUCUAUCUUUCUAACAAGCUCCUAGGUAUUGAUAAG
rnacentral:pre_miRNA from 1 species